UUUAAAGUCCCGACUGAAAUCACUACUUUUAAUUAACAACAGAAAAUAUAACAAAUGUCUGCAUUAUUAUAAAACCUUUCCCCCUCUAUUUAAAUAAUGAUUUCACUAUUUAAAUGUGUCUUUAUUGGUUUAUUUUAUAUUCUGUAUAUUACUGUCUUUACUUUGUACUUUUCUUUAUGUACUGUAUGUUUUUUUGUUAUUUAAUCUGUCUUUUACUUGAUUUACAUUGUGAUAUUGUUUUUUUUAACCUGACUGUAUAUGAGCAUUACUCUUCUUGAAUAAAGCUAAACAAAAAAAAAACA